CUGUCGCUUACCUUCUGGUGACUGGGGUUCCACCCAUGCGCAACCGAGAUUAACCGCUAAAGAGAUCUGACUCUUGGCAAAUUACAGUUGAGAGUCUGCUUGCUGUGGCUGUUUCCAUCCAUGGUGUGUCCAGCCCGUGGCCACGUCUCCACAGCCUGAUGUGUGUCUCUCUGGUUCACUCUACUUAUGCUGCCUGUGUCCCGAGGGGAUAGCAUUCCUUGGCAACUACCGCUGACCUCUGGUGUCAACAGUGUGGUGCAAGUGGGCACACAGUGAUCUAUCAUUGAUUAAGAACAAAGAGAAGACCUGAAAGGAAGACACGCCCUCCAGAGCUGGAUGGCAAGAACAUUGGCCUCAGCUGGGCGGAGGUGUCUGCAAGAACUACUCAGGUUGCUACAGGUAGCAACAUGGAGUUGGGCCUCUGGCUCUGGCUGUGCUGCUGCUGGUCCGGGGACACAGGUGCCUUAGAGCAUGAUCCCACCUAUGGUCUAACUGCAUUACUUCUUACACCUCGAGGUCUUAUCUCGGUUGCUUUCAGUCCCAGAGUCACCUCAGAACGAAUAGAAGAAUGAGGCCACUUGGAUUUGGAUUGAUACAAACCACGGAACAGAAAAGUCUAAGAAGCCCCUGGAUGCACAAGUCGGCCAUGUGUAGCUGAAUUGGAGACUGUCCUGGCCUAGCCUCAUCUCAUCUGCCCGUGUUGGGCACUGAGCUAGCUGUGCAUGCCACCCUCCAGUUUUUGGAAAGAGGAACAAGGCACCUUUGUGUACUGUGGUUUUCUUUUCUUUUCUUUUUUUUUUUUUCUGCUCCCAGACUCCUUUCACAGCUCUCUGGGCAACGCUCCCAUAUGUCCUUGAAUUGAUGCUGGUCCAGUCACACAUCACACGAUGGCUCCGGUUUUCUAGUUCACCACUGAGCUCUCUCUCUCUCCAGCAGCAUGCGGCUCACUUGCCAGGUUCAUUGCAUUUGUCUCAUAUCCUAAGCAUCAGGCUAGUUCCUGCUCUCUUUUUACUACCAGACAAAUUCCCUUGGACAAUCCCACCCUCCCAGGACACAUCCUUUGUUCCCAUUGUCAAAGAGAGGUCACCAUGAGUCACUCCUCCCCUUUUGGACUAUUUGAUUUCAUUUUCUGUCUCCUUGGAAAGGGGACUUGAUGUGACAUAACCACCCUUUUGAAUUUCUCCCUCUUUGUAAACCACUGUUGAGGUCAUUCUGCCCACUCCUGUUCUCCUGCCCACAUGCUCAAGAGAGCCUCCCUUUUACUCAGAGGCUGCUAAAAGCACCAGCUGCCUGAUGUUAUGCUUACUUCACUGGGGAAGCCAGCACUGCCAUUAAGUGGAAAUUGAAGUUGUUCCCUAACUCCACUUAACAGUAGUUUGGAUCAAGAGUAUGGUAGACUCAUAAGGACGAGCAGCACUGUGUUUCUUACUUCAGGUCGUGCUUUGCAUUGGGACCCUGAGUAAAAAGAUCAAAGUACCUUCUCACUGUCUUUCGUCCUACCAUCAAUGAAGACUGAAUGUGGGUUAGAAAACUUCUAGUUUGGGAUAGUUAGAAUAAGAACCUGAAAACUAAAAUGUAAGUUAACCAAAUAGCAAUCUUAGAGAAGUCAUGAAAUACUGGAUCUCAGCUAUUUUCAUUUUCUUUUUCUCCCUACUACUGUAACACUAGGGAAAAAAUCAAAUGAAAAACAUUAGAACAGCCUUUAAGUCUGUGAAAGCGCUAAUGGCAUCAUCAUAAUGAGAGAAUCCAAAAAUGAUUAUCAAUAUUACCACAUUUAUUAAUAUCUAUCCAUUAUCUAUUUAUCCAUUAUCUAUCAUCUAUCUAUCAUCCAUCUAUCUAUCUAUCUAUCUAUCUAUCUAUCUAUCUAUCUAUCUAUCAUCUGUUUAUGUAAAUGUGGAUACAUGCACACAUGUGUACAUGUGUACAAUGUGUGUGGAAAGCAGAGGUCAACCUGUAGAGUUUUUCCACAGAGUGACUGGCCAGCAUAUUUCUCAUUGGGAUUUAGGGCUCCCUGACUCAGCAAGGCUGUCUGGCCAGUGAUCCUCAGGUAUCCUCCGGUCUCUGUGUUCCCAGCACUAAGACUGCCAUAGUGUGCCAUCAGGUGUAGCUUUUUAUAAGCAAGUGCUAGAAACUGAACCCAUGCUUGCCCUGCCAGUGUUUUACACACUGAGCCAUCUCCCCAUCCCAAGAUUAUCCCUCUCUUUAACUUUACAUGCUUAUGAUUGUAUUAUUGUUUCUCUUUACAUGGAAAGGAAACUGAGGCUCAGGUAGAUUAAAUAAUUUGUCUAAGAUCACACAACUAAGUGACUUAGCCAAAAUGAGAAGCUAGAUAUAUUUGAUUUGUUUUAAAUCUGUUUUAUCUGCUAUACCAGGAUGAAUCUUCUUAGCCCCAAAUAUUUUGAGACUGCAUCAACCAGGCUUUAUACAGAUAAAGUGAAAUUGAGAACAUUUUCUUACAAAUUGGGACACCAUUUUUCACCUAAAGCCUAAUUUCUCUUGUUAGUUUCCUUUUCUUUCUUUUUAUUUUUGGCUUGUGCAGAUGUUGGCCAUGUCUUUGUACAUAGCUGGUCAAUUGACCAACUAAUCACUGCAGUAAAUUGUAAGCAUCACUUAGGCAGCUGUGGCUGCUGCGCUUAGCCCAGCAACUCUGGGCGGUUGUGAACUGUCUUGAUGGAUAGUCACUGCAAGCUGAGAGAUCUGCUCACCUUCGCUGUUAGACUGACUCCUUGUCUUGGUGUAACUUUUAGUGUCAAAUUCUAAAUAUAGAGUACAGUUAUACUUAAUUCAUGCUUUCCAAAGAGUAACAGCAAUUAUUAACUCACUGUGUUGACUUGCCUGGUCCACCGCUAAGAGGAAGCAAGGACACUAAUAGCAACCUGGACAGUAGGCUUACAUCACCAGUGCCUUCUACAUGAAGAAAGAACAUCACCUUUGUUUCUUUUUAAAUUUUCUUUCCUUUUCCUUGCUCUUCUUCCUUCCCUUCUAUUUCUUUUUUUUUUUAAAGCUUAGAUUUACUAAGAAAAGGUGUGUUUUUAAAGAUUCUUUGUUUUUAUUUGUAUGAGUGUUUUGUCUGGAUGUAUAUAAACACAUAGCAUAGACAAAAAGAGGGUGUCAGAUCCCCUGGAACUGAACAUAACCAUCUGGUUAUGAACCACUGAGCUAUCUCUCUGGCCUCAAGAAAAGGUACUGAUUUAAGACAAAAGGUCAAAAGAAACAAAGGGGAGUCCAGGUGUAGGGACCUGCCCCACCAGGAAUUUAGGUCACCUGUGAAGAGGUGGCCUGGAACCGAAGAAAGGUAAGUGCGCUGGCCCGUUCCCCAGCCUCCCUCUUACCAGGAGACAAUCAGACACAGCGGGGAGUCAAGUCAAACAAGAACUCCUUUGUUGAUAGGCAGUAAGCCUCUUUUAUACCAGAAAACCUCAGGACCCUAGGAGGGGGUGAAGGAACCAACCAAUCAUUUUAAAGGUCACCCUAUUUACAAGUUGUUUAUGCCCUGACAUCAUCUCAUGUUUUUGGCAUAAACACCUUGAGCUAACUUCCUUCCUCACCAUUCGUCUCUAAUCUCCACACAAACAACCCAAGCUAACUUCCUCUUAGCCAUCCUUUGUAUUUAUUCUCUGCACAAACAGCUUAAACUAACUUCCUCUGGUACCAUUUGUAUCCACUCUCUGCGUAAACAGCUUAAAGCUUAAGCUCUGUUUAUCUAAAUUUCUCUCGGCACCCUCUUUGCGCCCAUGUAUGCCCCACAUCCAAGGAUAAUAGUAUACAUUAAAGAGGAAGUACAGGCUUCUGAAAGAGGCUUUGACAUUCAUCUAUUCUUAUCUAUAGUUCCUGAAUUCUGGGGAUUCUUUCUUUCUUUCUUUCUUCCUUCCUUCCUUCCUUUCUUCCUUCCUUCCUUCCUUCCUUCCUUCCUUCCUUCCUUCCUCCCUCCCUCCCUCCCUUUUUCCCUCCCUCCUUCUCUCUUGCUUUCCUCUCUUGGUCAUUUUCUCUUCCCAUGUCAGACUGUGAAAAUUCAGCAAUAUUGAAACACGUGAAGAACAGGAAAAUGGGCAGGUGUGAAGAGGAAGCUUUCUUGUUGGUUUCCACAUGGAUACUCUCCCCUGUGAACCUUAUGUUAGAACAGGCUGUAUAGAACAUCUUCAGCUACAGUUUCGUCUUCUAGAUGAACCAAAGCUCUACUUUUGUCUUAGUUGCUCUCACAUGCCAGCAGUUUCAUAUCAUUCUCUAAGAGAGAGCAGAUCUCUACUGUGUGACCUCCCCGGGUCAGUUUCCAACCAACAGCUUCUCCCAUCUCAUGCUAGUGGCAUGCAAUUCAUCAGGACAUUUUCCUUAUAGUGCAGGUGUCUUUAGUUGCAAAAAGUAAAUAGCUUAACACAUCAAGUAAAACAGUAUUAAAAUUCAUCUGGUCAGCAAAAGAAGCAAUAGACAGUCCUAAUGUCUUCUUUUCUGAGUUGCAAACUCAAAUUAACUUUAACAUGUAUUUUCUUGUAUUUCAUUGUUCUUGGUUUAUAUUGCAAAUGCCUCCCUAAGCUUUUCCUCAGGUGUCCCUCUAGAAGUAGCUCAGUAGGAUUGUCUGAUUUAUUUUCAUGUAAUUUUUCUGUUUUUUAAUCCAUGUCUAUAGAUGAAAGUUCAAUCAUGAGAAAAUUUGUGAGUGGAACAAAUAUGAUAGUGUUUAAUACCAGAUCUCAGUUUUCUUUUGGUCUAAUUUCCAUCAUGUUGGCUCUUCUGACUUGUGUAGUUAAAAGACUGCUAGCCAUUCCAUUAUACCGCCUUUUCUAUAACUAUUUACUUCUCUUCCUCCUCUAAAUCUAAUGUGCUUAUAUUCUGCUAAAUUAAAAAACAAUUUAUUUUCUUGAUUUUAGCUGGCUUUGAUUUGUUUGCCUUAAUUCUAUGCCAGAUUCUCUCUUGUAUAAAUAUGUCAUACCCAAGAGAAAUUUGUGUUAAAAUUCAAUUAUUCAGUUUGUA